GAAGGUGUGUGCUGUUGCCACGGCGACGCGUCACUGGGCAACGCCGCGGUGAAGAGUAAUUCUGGAAAUGCUGCUUGUACCGGAACAAAUACAACAAAAUGUUAAAGGUAGUUAGCAAUAUAGCAUCCAGCGUUUUACCAUUUCUUCUGCCUUUUUGUGCAAUAUACAAACGUGUCUUAAACUACGGGGAAUAAAGCAGGUUGUCUCGGGACUAAAGCUGCCGUUACUCGCUGUAAUAGCACCGCUUCCUGUGAGGAAACGAAUAUGUCCACUCUCUGUGCUCAGCGUUAGCUUACCUUUUUUUGCAGUUAAUUAUAUAUUUCCCAAUUUAAUGGUCCUGCUGCAAUUGAGAGGAUUCAUCUGAAAAGCAAUUUAUCUUUCGACACAUUCGUCUUCAGACUCACACAGACCUAUUCAUCGACACGGUGUGCCAAGACUACAUCAUGCCAGAAGACAACAACUGUAAACUGCUGCAGCCACACAGCAGCUCCUCUGACAAUGAAAAGAAGAUCAAGAAGAAGAUGAUGAAGAGAAAGAAGAAGAAGAAGAAGAGAAAGAAAAUAACCGCUUCGACAACUCCUCCAGAAAACACAGAGAAACCUCAAGAUGUAUCGUUGCCCCCUGAGACCUCACCUGUAACCCUGCUGGCCCCACAGAGCCCGGGUCAGCCUCGAGCCCAGCUGCCCAAGCUCAGAACUACCAGCAAGAAGGAUGGAGAAUGGCUCGCUGGCAGCGAUCGGAAGAGCGAAAACCCCCCCAAGUAUUCACUGGCCCUGCUGACAACAACUUACAAAACCAGUGACAGCGGAGAGCUCAGCGCCCAGGCCAGGGAGUGCCUGAGGUGGGAGGGAGUGCUGGAGAACCCCCAGGCUGAGGAGAAGAGGCUGGAGCUGUACAGGGUCAACAGGCGGCAGCGCUACACCACAGACACUCUGUUAAAAGAAACCCUGGGUGCCUUGACUUUUCCUGAAGAGAGCAAAGACAAAAAGGCUUUGACUCAAUAUGUCAAACAGGAGUCAUUAAUGAAUUUGAGCAUCUCACUUUAAUGUUGACAGUAUAAAACAAAUGCAUCUGCAGUGAGCAACAGAGGGAAGAUCUUUGGAUGCGGUUAAGACAUAGGAAGAGAAACAAAUAAUGUUGCCAAUUCAAUACCCUUUAAAGCACUGAUAGAAACAGGUAGCCACUCUACCUACUGCCCGUGGACAAGGACAGGAACUGUUUAAAACUUAAUAGAGGAUUUGCACAGAUUAUGUUUAAGCUUCUAAAUUAUUUAACACUUCCAGAAAAUACCCAAAGUGGGUCUUUCAGGACUGAAACCCAAUCAGGAUAAUACCGCUGAGGCCCCCUCACAUCUGCGAGUCUACAGGUCCGUGAGGUAGAGGAGGGUUUAAUGGAUGGGGAUCACAUGACAUUUAUUUUUUCACACCUACAAUGUAACACAGGUUAGCAGUUUUCUUUUUUUUCUUUUCUUUUUUACAAAAAAAGUGGGUGUGGGGUUGUUUAUUAAAAUUUAAAUGUGACCGCUGUAACAAUGUGUUACUAUGCUGUCAAACUAAAUCUGCUAUACCAGUGAUCUAAUGUGCAAAGUCCUGAAUCCAGUAAUGGAUAUACCCCUCUCUUUUUCUACUUAUCUCUUGCUGCUCAAUACUGAUGGCUAAUUGAAAGGAAAUGAAAGGACACUUUAAAAAGCUACAUCUUCGGAAAGUCUGAAAAUAAAUCUAGGAAACUACCUCUGCUGCACAAUAGAUGGCAGCAAAGUCAUGUGCAAAUCAGAUGCUCCAACACUGAUAAGUGAUUCAAAAAGAGACAGUACUGUUGUGCCUGAGAUAUUUUUAUGCAUGAACAAAGUGAAACACACAAGACAAAAAAGUUUAAAUGACAAAUACAUUCCUGUUAUUUUUACCUGGGCAUCAGGGCUCACUUUGCAUUGCUAACAAAGCUGCAGAGAACAUGUUUUACUUAAAAUCCUAAGGAGAACAUAUGUUUCAUCAGUGAGAUGAGCAGAACGAUGGAAAUUAUUUUAGUAUUAGCUUCAAGAAUGGAAAGCAACAUGUAUGACGAUAUAUACCAGUGGCAAAAUAAAUUAUUAUGUAGACCUAUAUAUAUAUUGUUUUUUUUAAAUAUAAUUUUCCGCAUAAAUGUGUUGAAGAACCUUGAUUUGUCAGGUAUUGAAUUUGCUCUAUUAGCUAAAAAGAAAAUAGUUUCCUGUCUGGUUAUUUUUUCCAUUAACAAUUUCUCAAUUGAUUAUCCAGAAAAAUGUUUUACAUCACAAGGUAUACCGAUAUUCUGAUCAUGAUCUAAAUACAUACAACAUAGUACAACAUAUAAACCGUGGGCCGUGAAAUAUCUGCACCACUUGAACCCUGGACACAGUGGACUGAGGCGAGCUGUUGACAGGAAGGGAGAGUGAAGCUAAAAGUAAAUGUGGAGGGGUGAAGUAAAGACAGUGAUACACCAGCAGAAAGACAGAGGGGGAAAGAGAGGAAAAAACGCAGCAUUUCUUUUGUGAAGGUUUUGUCACACUGCAUUUAUGGGCUGUUUGUCGAAAGGCCUAUUGUUGCCUGUUGGUGUGUUUUGUUACCGUUGCCUAUUUCAGCAUCUCUGCUUCAAAGAGCUGAGCACAUAAUCCCCCCUCCGACUCACUGACCGGACCACGUACAUUACCGCAGUGGGCAUUAAGGCCACUUGUGUUUUUCCAGCAGCCCAAUACAAGUUAUUUUAAAGAUUAACAGCGGAGAACAUACUGAGACAUUUUAAAUGUGAUGUCACUGAAAAACCUGUGCAGACAUAAGGCCAUGAAAUAAAAUGUAAAAUAAAAUGUAAAUCAUUAAAAAAAAUAUUAAGAUUACAAAAGAAGUCCCAAAAGCGGCAUCCAUCUGAGGUAUCUGUUGUUUGCAUGGUGGAGUCCCCCUCACCUGAACACUGAGUGUAUGACGUUUACAGUUUAAAUCCAAUACUUCAACACUGUAAAUAUGAACUUCACUGUAAGAUUGUCUUUGUCUUCGGUGAGAGCGGUGGUGACGAAGAGACAGUUGGCUGCAUGUUAACAUUGCACAGAUGACGUGUUGAGCGGAAGAGUGGAGGAAAGUGUAGGUCGGGACACCUUCAGCCAGCUCAGUUCAUCUGAUCUGUCAGGGAGAGGAAAUAAAGAGAGGACAUUGUGAAAAGGUUGCCUCUUUCCCUUCUUACUAGGCACAGUUUGCCAAUAUUAACAGUGUUUUGUGUCCACUUGAUAAUUCCUUUUUGCCCAAUGUUUUAGUUUUUUUGAGACCUCAAUUAAGAUGUAUAAAUGACACAAGCUUGUUAGCUUAUUUUAUUGGUUAUCUUGAUGUUGUUCUGCCUGGGCUGUUGUGGUAGAUUAGCUGCUCAAUCAUGGAAAGUGCAAACAGGUGUGCCUAAUUAUGUCCUCUCAGCAGAGAGGGGCUACCACUGUUAAGAUAGGUAUGAUAGUUCUGCA
rnacentral:lncRNA from 1 species